rnacentral:rRNA from 1 species
GAUGAACGCUGGCGGCGUGCCUAAUACAUGCAAGUCGAGCGAACAGACGAGGAGCUUGCUCCUCUGACGUUAGCGGCGGACGGGUGAGUAACACGUGGAUCACCUACCUAUAAGACUGGGAUCACUUCGGGAAACCGGAGCUAAUACCGGAUAAUAUCUUGAACCGCAUUGUUCAAUAGUGAAAGACGGCUUUGCUGUCACUUAUAGCUGGAUCCGCGCCGCAUUAGCUAGUUGGUAAGGUAACGGCUUACCAAGGCAACGAUGCGUAGCCGACCUGAGAGGGUGAUCGGCCACACUGGAACUGAGACACGGUCCAGACUACUACGGGAGGCAGCAGUAGGGAAUCUGCCGCAAUGGGCGAAAGCUUGACGGAGCAACGCCGCGUGAGUGAUGAAGGUCUUCGGAUCGUAAAACUCUGUUAUUAGGGAAGAACAAAUGUGGAAGUAACUAUGCACGUCUUGACGGUACCUAAUCAGAAAGCCACGGCUAACUACGUG